rnacentral:tRNA from 1 species
GCGGACAUGGCGGAAUUGGCAGACGCGCUGGAUUUAGGUUCCAGUGGUGAACAGCCGUGCAGGUUCAACUCCUGUUGUCCGCACCA